rnacentral:rRNA from 1 species
GAUGAACGCUGGCGGCGUGCCUAAUACAUGCAAGUCGAGCGAACGGACGAGAAGCUUGCUUCUCUGAUGUUAGCGGCGGACGGGUGAGUAACACGUGGAUAACCUACCUAUAAGACUGGGAUAACUUCGGGAAACCGGAGCUAAUACCGGAUAAUAUUUUGAACCGCAUGGUUCAAAAGUGAAAGACGGUCUUGCUGUCACUUAUAGAUGGAUCCGCGCUGCAUUAGCUAGUUGGUAAGGUAGCGGCUUACCAAGGCAACGAUGCAUAGCCGACCUGAGAGGGUGAUCGGCCACACUGGAACUGAGACACGGUCCAGACUCCUACGGGAGGCAGCAGUAGGGAAUCUUCCGCAAUGGGCGAAAGCCUGACGGAGCAACGCCGCGUGAGUGAUGAAGGUCUUCGGAUCGUAAAACUCUGUUAUUAGGGAAGAACAUAUGUGUAAGUAACUGUGUACAUCUUGACGGUACCUAAUCAGAAAGCCACGGCUAACUACGUG